rnacentral:rRNA from 1 species
GACGAACGCUGGCGGCGUGCUUAACACAUGCAAGUCGAACGGAAAGGCCCUGCUUUUGGGGGUGCUCGAGUGGCGAACGGGUGAGUAACACGUGAGUAACCUGCCCUUGACUUUGGGAUAACUUCAGGAAACUGGGGCUAAUACCGGAUAGGAGCUCCUGCUGCAUGGUGGGGGUUGGAAAGUUUCGGCGGUUGGGGAUGGACUCGCGGCUUAUCAGCUUGUUGGUGGGGUAGUGGCUUACCAAGGCUUUGACGGGUAGCCGGCCUGAGAGGGUGACCGGCCACAUUGGGACUGAGAUACGGCCCAGACUCCUACGGGAGGCAGCAGUGGGGAAUAUUGCACAAUGGGCGGAAGCCUGAUGCAGCAACGCCGCGUGCGGGAUGACGGCCUUCGGGUUGUAAACCGCUUUCGCCUGUGACGAAGCGUGAGUGACGGUAAUGGGUAAAGAAGCACCGGCUAACUACGUG